UCUGAUAUAUUUCGUUUCAUUCCCGAUCAUCAAUACAUUUGCUUCAGAUCGUUAUACAUCUUGGUACUAUCUGGAUGAACAGAAAAUCAAUUACUAUGUGCUUCAUGAAGGAUUUUCUGAAUAAACUCUAUAUUUUUCGGUACACAAAUUCUAUUUCGGAACAUUAAACAGUCAUUAGUUCCAAUAUGAAAUUCUGAAUCAAAAUUAGACUUACAUUGAAUUCGUUUAGCUUGUAGUUCAUGAUCAUCUUUCUG
rnacentral:lncRNA from 1 species